rnacentral:rRNA from 1 species
GGGGGGGGCAAGCGUUGUUCGGAAUUACUGGGCGUAAAGGGCUCGUAGGCGGCCAACUAAGUCAGACGUGAAAUCCCUCGGCUUAACCGGGGAACUGCGUCUGAUACUGGAUGGCUUGAGUUCGGGAGAGGGAUGCGGAAUUCCAGGUGUAGCGGUGAAAUGCGUAGAUAUCUGGAGGAACACCGGUGGCGAAGGCGGCAUCCUGGACCGAUACUGACGCUGAGGAGCGAAAGCCAGGGGAGCAAACGGGAUUAGAUACCCCGGUAGUCCUGGCCCUAAACGAUGAAUGCUUGGUGUGGCGGGUAUCGAUCCCUGCCGUGCCGAAGCUAACGCAUUAAGCAUUCCGCCUGGGGAGUACGGUCGCAAGGCUG